rnacentral:rRNA from 1 species
AUUGAACGCUGGCGGCAGGCCUAACACAUGCAAGUCGAACGAGUGGCGGACGGGUGAGUAAUGUCUGGGAAACUGCCUGAUGGAGGGGGAUAACUACUGGAAACGGUAGCUAAUACCGCAUACCAUCCGGUGUGCCCAGAUGGGAUUAGCUAGUUGGUGGGGUAACGGCUCACCAAGGCGACGAUCCCUAGCUGGUCUGAGAGGAUGAGCAGCCACACUGUAACUGAGACACGGUCCGGACUCCAACGGGAGGCAGCAGUGGGGAAUAUUGCACACUGGGCGCAAGCCUAAUGCAGCCAUGCCGCGUGUAUGAAGAAGGCCUUCGGGUUUUAAAGUACUUUCAGCGUGGAGGCGUUACCCGCAGAAGAAGCACCGGCUAACUCCGUGCCAGCAGCCGCGGUAAUUC